rnacentral:rRNA from 1 species
UGGUGGAGUGAUUUGUCUGGUUAAUUCCGAUAACGAACGAGACUCUGUCCUGCUAACUAGGUUGUGUUUUCUCGGGUUGGUGUUUCUGGUGUCCCUUCUCGGGGCGCCGGCCCAAUCCACUUGUGAACACAACACUCUUCUUAGAGGGACUGGCGGCUGUUAGCCGCACGAGAUAGAGCAAUAACA